rnacentral:rRNA from 1 species
AUUGAACGCUGGCGGCAUGCCUUACACAUGCAAGUCGAACGGCAGCGGACCUUCGGGUGCCGGCGAGUGGCGAACGGGUGAGUAAUAUAUCGGAACGUACCUUUCAGUGGGGGGAUAACGUAGCGAAAGUUACGCUAAUACCGCAUAUUCUGUGAGCAGGAAAGCAGGGGAUCGCAAGACCUUGCGCUGAUUGAGCGGGCCGAUAUCAGAUUAGCCUAGUUGGUGAGGUAAAGGCUCACCAAGGCGACGAUCUGUAGCGGGUCUGAGAGGAUGAUCCGCCACACUGGAACUGAGACACGAUCCAGACUCCUACGGGAGGCAGCAGUGGGGAAUUUUGGACAAUGGGCGCAAGCCUGAUCCAGCCAUGCCGCGUGAGUGAAGAAGG